rnacentral:rRNA from 1 species
GACGAACGCUGGCGGCGUGCUUAACACAUGCAAGUCGAACGGAAAGGCCCUGCUUUUGUGGGGUGCUCGAGUGGCGAACGGGUGAGUAACACGUGAGUAACCUGCCCUUGACUUUGGGAUAACUUCAGGAAACUGGGGCUAAUACCGGAUAGGAGCUCCUGCUGCAUGGUGGGGGUUGGAAAGUUUCGGCGGUUGGGGAUGGACUCGCGGCUUAUCAGCUUGUUGGUGGGGUAGUGGCUUACCAAGGCUUUGACGGGUAGCCGGCCUGAGAGGGUGACCGGCGACAUUGGGACUGAGAUACGGCCCAGACGCCUACGGGAGGCAGCAGGCGGGAAUAUGGAACAAUGGGCGGAAGCCUGAUGCAGCAACGCCGCGUGCGGGAUGACGGCCUUCGGGUUGUAAACCGCUUUCGCCUGUGACGAAGCGUGAGUGACGGUAAUGGGUAAAGAAGCAACGGCUAACUACGUG